rnacentral:rRNA from 1 species
CAGUUGUGCUGGCGACCAUAGCAAGAGUGAACCACCUGAUCCCUUCCCGAACUCAGAAGUGAAACCUCUUAGCGCUGAUGGUAGUGUGGGGUUACCCAUGUGAGAGUAAGUCAUCGCCAGCUCAUUAUUC